ensembl:lncRNA
GGACAGAAUGUUAUGAAAAUACACAUAUUGUUCCCACUCCAGGAGUCCACAGAAAUUCAAUUUAAAGGGGAAGCUACAAUGAUGUCCUUAACAAAUCUAUUCUUAGUCUUAUAGAAGGGUCAGGAUGCAAGUCCAAAAUGUUGGCUUUACCUGUUCUAACCUAGUAAUGGUCUUUGAGAAAUUGAGGGUUUAUUUUGGGAACUAAUUUUUCUGGCUUCAUUAGUGCUACAUUUGCCAACAGGUAAAUUUCCAACAUAUUCCAAUUGUAUUUAGAGAAUUGAUGGAGGUAUUUUUAUGUUUCUUGGCUACUUUCUUAUUUUUGUCACAAAUAAUCUGUAGUAAAAAAACAGCAAACCAAGUGUUACAAAAACAGAACAAGAAGAUCUGGGGAAGAACAAAGGAAAAUUGAAAAUUGCAAGUAAAAUGAUCUACUUUUUUCCAGGAUAGAAGGGGGAUAGACUCCCCAAAGUUAGUUGAUCCUAUUUUGUAUCACUGAAGAAAAUAUUCAAAGAAAAAUGGGGAAAAUGCAUUAAAAGUUGAAUUUCUAUAAAGUAACUACAAAAAAAUUUACACUGUGUUGAAGUUAGAAAACAUUGCAGUAGAGUAUCCUUUUAUGUUAUUCAUCCUUCCUUUAUUCUCUGAAUUACUUAGCAUGUUUUACAAAUCAUUAGGAAAAAGUUUCCAUAAUGAUACUACUGGAAAUUAGAGUAAACUGUUAGUGAAAGCAUUUUAAGACUGUUCUUUAAUGUUAUGCUGUUUAUAAAUAUAAUUUAAUAGUAUUUAGCAAAUAUCUUGAAGAGCCAUUAAAAUGACAUUACAUUUUGUAAUCAGUACCUAUAUAAGACUUUCCCUCUAUUUUGUCUUUGCUUCCCAAUUAGUAUCUGUACUACAAAGUCUGAAGUAACAAAAUUCUGUUUUUGUCCCAACUCUCAAGGUUAUAAAGUUAUGCUCUACAGCUUUGGGAAUCUACAACCAGAUCUCAUAAUGCUACAUUAUGGCUAUUUUUUUGUCCUUUACUGCAGAUUAAAUUUCUUAAGGCCAUCACUUUUAAAUGAUCAAAGAAAUAGUGUUGAUCUAAAUAAAACUGAUGAGGUAAAAAUGGAAAAGUGGAUCAAAAAGAGUAAAUUUUGAAGAAAUAAUAUAAUAGGCUUUCUCAGAUGAGAAAGUUAUUUUCAAUAAGAAAUUUUAGAGAUUCCUAUUUGUCAUAUGCAAAAUGUGUCACAUACUCAAGCUACUUAACCCCUUCUACUACCCCCAAAAGGAGAAUAUUUGUUGGAAGCUUAAAAUCAAAAAAUAUAGCUUAAAUUCAAACAAGCAGCAUUAAUACCAAUAUACUAACAAGAAGAUAUUAAACUUUAAACCAUAAAAUUGUGGGUCAUAGAAGAAGCUUACUAGGAAAUUAUCCUAUUUAUAGUUCCACACUAUUUCAAUUUGAAAUAAGCAUUUUCAUUAGAAAUUAUCUUUUUAUGAUAGAUUCACAUACUUUUAUACCACUUUGAGCAAUAAAGUAAAGCUGCAUUGUUAUUUUAACCUUUGCCUUAAAACAUUUUUAAAAAAUGAUGCCUAGAAAACCUUAUGAACUGCCUUUGGGGAGGGGGGGGGGUAUUAAGAUUUCAUUCAACUAAGGUUAGACUAUAUCAUGAAACCGCUUUUCCCAGCUUUUUUCCAGGAAAUCAUUUACUUAAAAAUAAAAGCUUUUAGUGUUGUUCAUUUCAUCUAUAAGAAAGUAAAAGUAUUUUAUGAUGCCAUAACAAUUGGAAUAAAGAAACUAAUAUAUGCAAUUUCAAUUUAGAGUUAUUUUGUUACCAUACAUACAAGGCUAAAUUAAAUGAGUUUUCCUGAUAACAGAUCAAUUGAUUGGUUUGGGCAGAAGAGGUGAAAAAAAUUUAUUCAAAUAAUUUCUCAUUAAUCUGAACUGUGAUAUUUAAUUUUUUAAAUGUCGGUACUUCUCAAAUUGAGACAUUUAAGUGAGUUUAUUUUUUAUCUUUCAUUGAUUGAUGGCUUUUGUUUUGGUUGAUUCAGCAUGUUGGUAAAAUUAUAUGUAUCAUGCUAGACUUGAUUUUUCUCACAUGUUUAGUUUUCCCUGUAAAACUAUGAAUGGUUUUUCACUUUGAUAAGAAAAAUAUUUCAAAUAAUAUUGCAUGUAGGUUAAUUUAAUGUUAUAUCUGUUAGUAUCCUUGGUUAAAGAAAAAUAUGAAGAGUCAUUGUACUUUAUGUAUUUCAGAGCCAGAUCUAAUACCUCUCCUAAUGUCUUAAAGUUUGGUUUUGAUCUUGAGCAGAAUUAAAUUAACACAUAUUUAGAACAGUUAUGUUACUUUUAAUAUGU